rnacentral:tRNA from 1 species
UGCGGAGUAGAGCAGUUUGGUAGCUCGUCGGGCUCAUAAUCCGAAGGUCACAGGUUCAAAUCCUGUCUCCGCUA